rnacentral:rRNA from 1 species
CCUACGGGUGGCAGCAGUGGGGGAUAUUGCACACUGGAGGAAACUCUGAUGCAGCGACGCCGCGUGAGGGAAGACGGUCUUCGGAUUGUAAACCUCUGUCUUUGGGGAAUAAAAUGACGGUACCCAAAGAGGAAGCUCCGGCUAACUAAGUGCCAGCAGCCGCGGCAAUACGUAGGGAUAGCUCGUUGUCCUGCAUUACUGGGUGUAAAGGGAGCUUAGGCGGGUGAGAAAUUUGAAUGUUAAAUUUCCCGUCUUAACUGGUAGCUGCGUUCAAAACUUCUUGUCUUGAGUGAAGUAGAGGCAGGCGGAAUUCCUAGUGUAGCGGUGAAAUGCGUAGAGAUUAGGAGGAACACCAGUGGCGAAGGCGGCCGGCUGGGCUUUAACUGACGCUGAGGCUCGAAAGCGUGGGGAGCAAACAGGAUUAGAUACCCCAGUAGUC